CAGAGAGUAGUUAAAUUAGAAUUUUGGCUUUGGGAGCCAAGGGUGGGAGUUGAAGUCUCUCCUUUCUGA
rnacentral:tRNA from 1 species